rnacentral:rRNA from 1 species
CGGAGGGAAACCGAGUCUUAAUUGGGCGUUAAGUUGCAGGGUAUAGACCCGAAACCCGGUGAUCUAGCCAUGGGCAGGUUGAAGGUUGGGUAACACUAACUGGAGGACCGAACCGACUAAUGUUGAAAAAUUAGCGGAUGACCUGUGGCUGGGGGUGAAAGGCCAAUCAAACCGGGAGAUAGCUGGUUCUCCCCGAAAGCUAUUUAGGUAGCGCCUCGUGAAUUCAUCUCCGGGGGUAGAGCACUGUUUCGGCUAGGGGGCCAUCCCGGCUUACCAACCCGAUGCAAACUGCGAAUACCGGAGAAUGUUAUCACGGGAGACACACGGCGGGUGCUAACGUCCGUCGUGAAGAGGGAAACAACCCAGACCGCCAGCUAAGGUCCCAAAGUCAUGGUUAAG